UUAACUGGAGGAAGGUGGGGAUGACGUCAAAUCAUCAUGCCCCUUAUGACCUGGGCUACACACGUGCUACAAUGGACGGUACAAAGAGCUGCAAGACCGCGAGGUGGAGCUAAUCUCAUAAAACCGUUCUCAGUUCGGAUUGUAGGCUGCAACUCGCCUACAUGAAGCUGGAAUCGCUAGUAAUCGCGGAUCAGCAUGCCGCGGUGAAUACGUUCCCGGGCCUUGUACACACCGCCCGUCACACCACGAGAGUUUGUAACACCCGAAGUCGGUGGGGUAACCUUUUUGGAGCCAGCCGCCUAAGGUGGGACAGAUGAUUGGGGGAAGUCUAACAA
rnacentral:rRNA from 1 species